rnacentral:rRNA from 1 species
CUAAAGAUGGCGACCGGCGCACGGGUGAGUAACACGUAUCCAACCUGCCGAUAACUCAGGGAUAGCCUUUCGAAAGAAAGAUUAAUACCCGAUGGCAUAGUUCUUCCGCAUGGUAGAACUAUUAAAGAAUUUCGGUCAUCGAUGGGGAUGCGUUCCAUUAGGUUGUUGGCGGGGUAACGGCCCACCAAGCCUUCGAUGGAUAGGGGUUCUGAGAGGAAGGUCCCCCACAUUGGAACUGAGACACGGUCCAA